rnacentral:rRNA from 1 species
CACACCGCCCGUCACGCCAUGGAAGUUGGGGUCGCUUGAAAAGGCUGAGCUAACUGCAAGGAGGCAAGUCUUAAUGGUGAAACCGAUGACUGGGGUG